GAUGAACGCUGGCGGCGUGCCUAAUACAUGCAAGUCGAACGCUGAAGGAGGAGCUUGCUCUUCUGGAUGAGUUGCGAACGGGUGAGUAACGCGUAGGUAACCUGCCUGGUAGCGGGGGAUAACUAUUGGAAACGAUAGCUAAUACCGCAUGACAACAGUUAUUGCAUGAUAACUGUUUAAAAGGGGCAACUGCUCCACUACCAGAUGGACCUGCGUUGUAUUAGCUAGUUGGUGAGGUAACGGCUCACCAAGGCGACGAUACAUAGCCGACCUGAGAGGGUGAUCGGCCACACUGGGACUGAGACACGGCCCAGACUCCUACGGGAGGCAGCAGUAGGGAAUCUUCGGCAAUGGACGGAAGUCUGACCGAGCAACGCCGCGUGAGUGAAGAAGGUUUUCGGAUCGUAAAGCUCUGUUGUAAGAGAAGAACGAGUGUGAGGGUGGAAAGUUCACACUGUGACGGUAUCUUACCAGAAAGGGACGGCUAACUACGUG
rnacentral:rRNA from 1 species